rnacentral:rRNA from 1 species
ACGAGGUGCUGCAUGGUUGUCGUCAGCUCGGUGCCGUGAGGUGUCGGGUUAAGUCCCAUAACGAGCGCAACCCCUACCUUUAGUUGCCAUCAGGUUAAGCUGGGGACUCUAAAGGAACUGCCUACGCAAGUAGUGAGGAAGCGGGGAUGACGUCAAAUCAGCACGGCCCUUACGUCCAGGGCUACACACGUGCUACAAUGGCCGAUACAGAGGGCAGCUACCUGGUGACAGGAUGCAAAUCUCCAAAGUCGGUCUCAGUUCGGAUCGGAGUCUGCAACCCGACUCCGUGAAGUUGGAUUCGCUAGUAAUCGCGCAUCAGCCAUGGCGCGGUGAAUACGUUCCCGGGCCUU